rnacentral:lncRNA from 1 species
UGAUGAAAUCCAUGAAUUGUUAUUCUUACACGAAUUGCAACUCGGUUGAAGCUUCGGGAACUCAAGCCGGAACGAACACACGCUUGAAGGAAAAGCUCUAAGGUGAAUCACCGAAGGAUGUUUAUAUGAAGAUCAAGUCGUAGGAAGAACCAAACAUAACUUAAGGAUUAUAGCUUCCGCGUUUUGUUAACUCAAACGUUAUAAAGUAAUAAUUAUGUCAUUUUGGGAAUACUU